rnacentral:rRNA from 1 species
AUUGAACGCUGGCGGCAUGCUUUACACAUGCAAGUCGAACGGCAGCGCGGGCUUCGGCCUGUCGGCGAGUGGCGAACGGGUGAGUAAUGCAUCGGAACGUGCCCAGUAGUGGGGGAUAGCCCGGCGAAAGCCGGAUUAAUACCGCAUACGACCUGAGGGUGAAAGCGGGGGACCGAAAGGCCUCGCGCUAUUGGAGCGGCCGAUGUCGGAUUAGCUAGUUGGUGGGGUAAAGGCUUACCAAGGCGACGAUCCGUAGCUGGUCUGAGAGGACGACCAGCCACACUGGGACUGAGACACGGCCCAGACUCCUACGGGAGGCAGCAGUGGGGAAUUUUGGACAAUGGGGGCAACCCUGAUCCAGCCAUGCCGCGUGCGGGAAGAAGGCCUUCGGGUUGUAAACCGCUUUUGUUCGGGAAGAAAUCCUCUGGGCUAAUACCCCGGGGGGAUGACGGUACCGGAAGAAUAAGCACCGGCUAACUACGUG